rnacentral:lncRNA from 12 species
AGGAGGGUCAGGUCCAGGGGGAGGAGGGUCAGGGCCUGGGGGAGGAGGACUAGGGCCCAAGUGGAGGAGGGCCAGGGACCAGGUGGGAGGGCCAGGGGCCAAGUAGAGGAGGGCCAGGGACCAGGUGGAGGAGGGCCAGGGCCAGUGGGAGGAGGGUCAGGGCCAGGGGGAGGAGGACUAGGGCCCAGGUGGAGGAGGGCCAGGGCCAGUGGGAGGAGGGUCAGGGCCAGGGGGAGGAGGACUAGAGCCCAGGUGGAGGAGGGCCAGGGACCAGGUGAAGGAGGGCCAGGGACCAGGUGGAGGAGGGCCAGGGCCAGUGGGAGGAGGGUCAGGGCCAGGGGGAGGAGGACUAGGGCCCAGGUGGAGGAGGGCCAGGGACCAGGUGGAGGAGGGUCAGGGCCAGGGGGAGGAGGGUCAGGGCCAGGGGGAGGAGGACUAGGGCCCAGGGACCAGGUGGAGGAGGGUCAGGGCCCCGGUGGAGGAGGGUCAGGGCCCGGGUGGAGGAGGGCCAGGGCCAGGAGGAGGAGCACCGAGGCCCCAGCUCCCUGCAACCCCAUUCCGGGCCGGGAGUGGGGGCAAGUGCAGGCCUGCAGAUCAGGGUGGAGCUGGGGCAAAGCCGAGGUGUCCUGGGUCCGCAGGGCCUUGGGGAGCCGCUCCCCACAGAGGUCGCAGGAAUCCCGUGCAGAUCCCGGGGCGCCUCCCGCCCCAAGCCAGCCCGGCCUGGAAGGGUCAGCACCUGGGGGCUGCGGGACAGACGGACAGACUGGGACACAGGGGCGGCGCUGGCCCUGGAGACCCACCCCCUGCGGGCGACAGUGGGUGGGACCGGGCCCCCCCCACGGGCGACACCCGGAGCAGCCUUCACAUUCGGUGACGUUUGCUAGAACCCGAGGCACCGUCCCCAGACCCAGAGGUGACCUGUGCAAGGACCCCCUGGGCCAGCACCGUGGAAGGGUUGACCUGAGAAAUGCAAGAGCUAUUUUGGCAGAAAACAAACAAAACAAAACAAAACAAAACAAAACCAAAAACCAGGUCUUCUCUGGGAAGAGCACGGAAUGGCAACGUGGGACCUGGGGGCUGUGCAAAGCUGAGCAAGCCCGACCCGGAGGGGACGAGGGAGCAGAGGUGCGAGGGCUCGGGGACAGCUGCUCAGUGGCCGCUCCCUCCGGGGACCGGGACGUUGGCCUGUUGGCCCCCAGCAGGGCCCCCCACCCCCGACCCCGUGGGAUGGACGGCAGCCCCCCAACCCCCAGGGGACCUCCCUGUGUGCCGGGUCACCGUGUGGGGGCAAAGGCCUGCAUGGGGCAGGCCCAGAGCCCAGGGGACAGCUUUGCCUUAGGUGUUAACUCAUGA